UGGGGAAUCUUCCGCAAUGGACGAAAGUCUGACGGAGCAACGCCGCGUGAGUGAAGAAGGUUUUCGGAUCGUAAAACUCUGUCUUUUGGGGCGAACGUGAGUAUGGUGAACAAUCAUAGUCAGUGACGGUACCAAAGGAGGAAGCCACGGCUAACUACGUGCCAGCAGCCGCAGUAAUACGUAGGUGGCAAGCGUUGUCCGGAAUUAUUGGGCGUAAAGAGCGCGUAGGCGGGAUAGUCAGUCUGUUGUAAAAGUGCGGGGCUCAACCCCGUGAUGGCAAUGGAAACAGCUAUUCUUGAGUGCAGGAGAGGAAAGUGGAAUUCCCAGUGUAGCGGUGAAAUGCGUAGAUAUUGGGAGGAACACCAGUGGCGAAGGCGACUUUCUGGACUGUGUCUGACGCUGAGGCGCGAAAGCCAGGGGAGCGAACGGGAUUAAAUACCCCGGUAGUCCUGGCCGUAAACGAUGAGUACUAGGUGUAGGAGGUAUCGACCCCUUCUGUGCCGCAGUUAACACAAUAAGUACUCCGCCUGGGAAGUACGAUCGCAAGAUUAAAACUCAAAGGAAUUGACGGGGUCAUAGCUGUUUCC
rnacentral:rRNA from 1 species